CAAUGGGCGCAAGCCUGAUGCAGCCAUGCCGCGUGUAUGAAGAAGGCCUUCGGGUUGUAAAGUACUUUCAGCAGUGAGGAAGGUGGGUAUGUUAAUAGCAUAUUCAUUUGACGUUAGCUGCAGAAGAAGCACCGGCUAACUCCGUGCCAGCAGCCGCGGUAAUACGGAGGGUGCGAGCGUUAAUCGGAAUUACUGGGCGUAAAGCGCAUGCAGGUGGUUUGUUAAGUCAGAUGUGAAAGCCCGGGGCUCAACCUCGGAAUUGCAUUUGAAACUGGCAAACUAGAGUACUGUAGAGGGGGUAGAAUUUCAGGUGUAGCGGUGAAAUGCGUAGAGAUCUGAAGGAAUACCGGUGGCGAAGGCGGCCCCCUGGACAGAUACUGACACUCAGAUGCGAAAGCGUGGGGAGCAAACAGGAUUAGAUACCCUGGUAG
rnacentral:rRNA from 1 species